CCAACGGCUCUACUAAGAGCCACCGUUCUUUUAAUGUGUGUAUAAA
rfam:Bombyx mori DNA, contig: Bm_scaf4_contig4251, strain: p50T/Dazao, build 2, whole genome shotgun sequence.